UCUAGUCGUUUGAAGCGUUUUCUUUCUAAAAUUAGUCAGCAUUGCUAUGCAACGCCGUCGUCAAAUUUGCUGUUGAUGGGCUGUUAAACGGGUUUACUUUUUAAUGGAGGGAUAUGCAAGGUUAUCCAGAUCCAUAGGCAAAAGGAAAACCUAGUGGUGAGGAAUCGAUACCCUCUUGGAGAGACUGUGUUAAGACGUGGGAGCGUAUCCGAGAAACGCAAAGAGGAAGGCUCUUCUUGGGUGUGUGAUUCCCCUUGGUGGGAGGGAUCAUAAACGACUUCAUUAGCUCUCUGGUAGACCAUGGUGUGGUCCAGUGGGUGAAGUGAAAAAAAAAAAGAGCGUGGG